UCUCGAUCAGUAUCAGGGGUGAGCUAGGGACCAUUGUCAUAAUGUCCCUUUAACCCCUUAAGGACCAAACUUCUGGAAUAAAAGGGAAUCAUGACAUGUCCCUCUUGACUAGUGUCUCUGACUGCCUCUCUGCUGUUUCUAACUGGAUGGCUGCCCACUUCCUUAAACUAAACUUGACCAAAACUGAAAUUCUGGUCUUUCCUCCCUCAAGUGUUGUUACUCCUGUGUCUGUCUCUCUCCAAGUCAACGGUGCUACCAUCAGCUCCACCACACAGGCUCGCUGCCUAGGUGUUCUCUUUGACUCCGACCUCUCCUUCAAGCCUCAUGUUCAAUCUAUCGACCAAAUCCUGUCAUUUCCAUCUCAAAAACAUUGCGCGCAUCCGCCCCUACUUAAUGCCAGAUGCGACUAAGGUGUUAGUCCAUUCCACUGUCCUUUCUCGCCUUGACUACUGUAAUCUGCUUCUCAGUGGUCUUACGUGCUCCCAACUUGCGCCGUUACAGUCCCUAAUGAAUGCGGUGGUGAGGCUCAUCUUCCUGUCCGCCCGCACCUCCCAUGCCUCACCCUUCUGUCAGUCCCUACAUUGGCUUCCUAUAAAAUAUAGAGCUCAAUUUAAAAUUCUGGUUCUUGCUUUCAAAUCUCUACUUAAUGCUGCUCCCACCUAUCUAGCCUCCCUUAUACACAAG